rnacentral:rRNA from 1 species
UUGCACGCUGGCGGCAUGCUUUACACAUGCAAGUCGAACGGUAACAGGCCGCAAGGUGCUGACGAGUGGCGAACGGGUGAGUAAUGCAUCGGAACGUGCCCAGUCGUGGGGGAUAACUACUCGAAAGAGUAGCUAAUACCGCAUACGAUCUAUGGAUGAAAGCGGGGGACCGUAAGGCCUCGCGCGAUUGGAGCGGCCGAUGUCAGAUUAGGUAGUUGGUGGGGUAAAGGCUCACCAAGCCAACGAUCUGUAGCUGGUCUGAGAGGACGACCAGCCACGCUGGGACUGAGACACGGCCCAGACUCCUACGGGAGGCAGCAGUGGGGAAUUUUGGACAAUGGGCGCAAGCCUGAUCCAGCAAUGCCGCGUGCAGGAAGAAGGCCUUCGGGUUGUAAACUGCUUUUGUACGGAACGAAACGGCUCUGGUUAAUACCCGGGGCUAAUGACGGUACCGUAAGAAUAAGCACCGGCUAACUACGUG